rnacentral:lncRNA from 1 species
CGAGACUCUGACAGCGGURCGGCCGGCGCUGCUCCCGAGCGCAGGGACGGACCGACAGCGGCGCCGAAGGAGGACGCRAGCACCGCGGCCCGGCGCCAAGUGCGGGAGGCGCGCGGGGCCGGCGGCGCGCAGAGAUCCCCUCUGAAGCAGCUGGGAACUCAGAAGGCUCCCCAUCCUGGAGGAGAGUUUCAGCCAGAGAGGGAGAAGGGAUGGCGUGCAGCCCACCCAGGGCUUGAGGUGGAGCGAAAUCCACAGCCUGUUGGACCUGGAGCCUCCGAGUGGGGGCUGCACCACCGGGGUGACUCAAGAAGAAUCGGUGCUACGGGCCCCAGCGACAUGUACAUGGUGUAAUGACAGGAAAUGAGCAGGUUGGCCGAAAAGCUGGUGGCCUGAAAUUGAAGACUAAG